UUUAUCUCCCCCGAGGUUUUGCCAGCAUUAUGGCUGUAACAGCAUUAUGGGAGAUGAAUUCCACAACAUCUGGAGUACCGAAUGUCGCCUAACCCCGUCUAAAAACACACCACUAACAUUACUGUGAAGUUACAUCUAAUGUGAGAUUUAUUAAUUGAACAAUAAAUUGCGGGGAACAUAUUUGGCAACAUUUAGACUCAAAG